GUUCGAUUCUGGCUCAGAUUGAACGCUGGCGGGAUGUUACAUGCAAGUCGAACGGCAGCACGGACUUUGAUCAGGUGGCGAGUGGCGAACAGGUGAGUAAUGUAUCCGGAACGACAGUAGCGGGGAUAACUACGCGAAAGCGUAGCUAAUACCGCAUACGCCCUUCGGGGAAAGCGGGGGACCUUCGGGCCUCGCACUAUUAGAGCGGCCGAUAUCAGUUAGCUAGUUGGUGGAGUAACGGCUCCGCAGGCGACGAUCCGUAGCUGGUUUUGAGAGGACGACCAGCCACACUGGGACUGGAGCCAGCUGGGCUACGGGAAGGCAGCAGUGAAACGAUUUUGGACAAUGGGGAAACCCUGAUCCAGCCAUCCCGCGUGUGCGAUGAAGGCCUUCGGGUUGUAAAGCACUUUUGGCGGGAAAGAAACAUUUUGGGAUAUUACGUACAGAAAGCGACGUCCUGCCAGAUGACGCCGGCUGGCUACGUGCCAGCAGCUGCGCGGUAUGCAUAGGGUUACAGCGUUAAUCGGAAUUACUGGGCGUAAAGCGUGCGCAGGCGGUUUGAAGAAAGAUGUGAAAUCCCAGAGCUUAACUUUAGACUGCAUUUUUAACUACCGAGCUAGAGUGUCAAGAGGUGGAAUUCAUGAUGUAGCAGUGAAAUGCGUAGAUAUGCGGAGGGAACACCGAUGGCGAAGGCAGCCUCCUGGAUAACACUGAGCUCAUGCACUGUAUUAAGGAGCAAAACGGGAUUAGAUACCACAGUAGUCCACGCCCUAAGCGAUGUCAACUAGCUGUUGGAGCCUUCGGGCCUUGGUAGCGCAGCUAACGCGUGAAGUUGACCGCCUGGGAAGUACGGUCGCAAGAUUAAAACUCAAAAGGAAUUGGCGGGGACCCGCACAAGCGGUGGAUGAUGUGGAUUAAUUCCGUGCAACGCGAAAAACCUUACCUACCCUUGACAUGUCUGGAAUCCCGAAGAGAUUUGGGAGUGCUCGCAGAACCGGAACACAGGUGCCAUGGCUGUCGUCAGCUCGUGUCGUGAGAUGUUGGGUUAAGUCCCACCCAACAGGCGCAACCCUUGUCAUUAGUUACUACGAAAGAGCAUCUAAUGGAGACUGCCGGUGACAAACCGGAGGAAGGUGGGGAUGACGUCAAGUCCUCAUGGCCCUUAUGGGUGGGGCUUCACACGUCAUACAAUGGUCGGGACAGAGGGUCGCCAAACCCGCGAGGGGGAGCCAAUCCCAGAAACCCGAUCCGUAGUCCGGAUCGCAGUCUGCAACUCGACUGCGUGAAGUCGGAAUCGCUAGUAAUCGCGGAUCAGCAUGUCGCGGUGAAUACGUUCCCAGGUCUUGUACACACCGCCCGUCACACCAUGGGAGUGGGUUUUACCAGAAGUAGUUAGCCUAACCGUAAGGGCGAUUACUGCAUUAGGAUUCGCGGCUGGGGUGGCAGUCGUAGCACCGAAGGUAA
rnacentral:rRNA from 1 species